GAUGAACGCUAGCGGCAGGCCUAAUACAUGCAAGUCGAACGGUGUCUUCGGACGUAGUGGCGCACGGGUGCGUAACACGUAUGCAACCUACCUUACAUUGGGGGAUAGCCUUUCGAAAGGGAGAUUAAUACCGCAUAAGACAGUAGCUGGGCAUCCAGCAGCUGUUAAAGAUUUAUCGAUGUAAGCUGGGCAUGCGUCCAAUUAGCUAGUUGGUGAGGUAACGGCUCACCAAGGCAAUGAUUGGUAGGGGAACUGAGAGGUCAAUCCCCCACACUGGAACUGAGAUACGGGCCAGACUCCUACGGGAGGCAGCAGUAGGGAAUAUUGGGCAAUGGACGCAAGUCUGACCCAGCCAUGCCGCGUGCAGGAUGAAGGCGUUAUGCGUUGUAAACUGCUUUUAUACAGGAAGAAACGACUCUUGCGAGAGGCAUUGACGGUACUGUAUGAAUAAGCACCGGCUAACUCCGUGCCAGCAGCCGCCGUAAGAC
rnacentral:rRNA from 1 species